rnacentral:rRNA from 1 species
UCGGGAAUUUUGGGCAAUGGGGGAAACCCUGACCCAGCAACGCCGCGUGAAGGAUGAAGUAUUUCGGUAUGUAAACUUCGAAAGAAUAGGAAGAAUAAAUGACGGUACUAUUUAUAAGGUCCGGCUAACUACGUGCCAGCAGCCGCGGUAAUACGUAGGGUGCAGGCGUUAAUCGGAAUUACUGGGCGUAAAGGGUGCGUAGGCGGCAUAUCAAGUCACUUGUGAAAUCUCCGGGCUUAACUCGGAACUGCCAAGUGAUACUGAUGUGCUAGAGUGCAGAAAGGGCAACUGGAAUUCUUGGUGUAGCGGUGAAAUGCGUAGAUAUCAAGAGGAACACCUGAGGCGAAGGCGAGUUGCUAGGCUGACACUGACGCUGAGGUACGAAAGCUAGGGGAGCGAACGGGAUUAGAUACCCUCGUAGUCCCUGAGCGGGCUGGCAAGGCGCAU